rnacentral:rRNA from 1 species
AACGAACGCUGGCGGCAUGCCUAGCACAUGCAAGUCGAACGAGACCUUCGGGUCUAGUGGCGCACGGGUGCGUAACGCGUGGGAACCUGCCCUUAGGUUCGGAAUAACUCCCCGAAAGGGGUGCUAAUACCGGAUAAUGUCUUCGGACCAAAGAUUUAUCGCCUUUGGAUGGGCCCGCGUUGGAUUAGCUAGUUGGUAGGGUAAAAGCCUACCAAGGCGACGAUCCAUAGCUGGUCUGAGAGGAUGGUCAGCCACACUUGGACUGAGACACGGCCCCGACUCCUACGGGAGGCAGCAGUGGGGAAUAUUGGACAAUGGGCGAAAGCCUGAUCCAGCAAUGCCGCGUGAGUGAUGAAGGCCUUAGGGUUGUAAAGCUCUUUUACCCGGGAUGAUAAUGACAGUACCGGGAGAAUAAGCUCCGGCUAACUCCGUG